rnacentral:rRNA from 1 species
GUAGGCUGCAACUCGCCUACAUGAAGCUGGAAUUGCUAGUAAUCAUAGGUCAGCAUACUAUGGUGAAUACGUUCCCGGGCCUUGUACACACCGCCCGUCACACCAUGAGAGUUGAGAAUACCCGAAGUCCAUGUUAAAGUGGCCGAAGGUAGGCUUGAUGAUUGGGGUGAAGUCGUAACAAGGUACC